UACGGAAGGGGCGAGCGUUGUUCGGAAUUAUUGGGCGUAAAGGGCGCGUAGGUGGUUCUGUAUGUCUACCGUGAAAGCGUACGGCUCAACCGUAUUUUGUCGGUAGAAACUGCAGGACUUGAGGCUGGGAGGGGCUGGUGGAAUUCCCUGUGUAGCGGUGAAAUGCGUAGAGAUGGGGGAGAACACUCGUGGCGAAGGCGGCCAGCUAGACCAGUUCUGACACUGAGGCGCGACAGCGUGGGGAGCAAACAGG
rnacentral:rRNA from 1 species